UAUUUAAAUAAAAUGAUGUAUAAUAUUCAGCUCAAAUUAUUCACUAAUUUGGGUUGUCUAUCUCUGAGCUUUCUUAGAGAGAUAAUCUCUCUCCAUCUUUUCUCUUUUUCUUUUGAGACAAUAGGUUUUUGCCUUGCCAGUUCCGUAGCUGCUCUUAUCCAUUUUGGGUAGGGGCAGCUUUUCCUACUUUAUCCAAGAGGGACUCGUCUUUCUCCUCUUCCGAGUGAAGUUAUAUAUCAUUUGUUCUAUUUUAUUUGGUUAUUUUGUUUUUCGGUGAUGAUAGCUCCGAAUCCGGGGUUCCGAGAGUUUAUUCCCUGUAUAUGGAGGGCGAUGAUUGGAGUCUUUUCCCUUCUACCGGUUUUCAAGCUUUAGUGCCUACUUCUCCCCGGACUCUAGCCGAUGGCGGCUGCUAGGGUUAGAGAAAUCUGUCUUCUCUUUCGUUGAUGGCCAAUUUCCCUCAUCGCUUUUCUGGAUCUAAGUUUGCAUGUGCUUCAAGCAUUUUGCUUAUUUCCUUGUCUAAGAAGCAGAGAUUAUCGAUGUCCCAUAAACGGAAAGAGGCGUUUGCUGCAA